rnacentral:ncRNA from 1 species
ACCGUCAAGGUGCUCCAUAUUUGAAAGGGGAGAAUAGGGAAUCACGUGUAAAUCGUGAGCUGUCGCGCAACUGUAAUCACCGCGAAAGUUUCUGUUUAUAUAUCCACUGUCCGUAAAGGAUGGGAAGGAAAACAGAAAUGGUGAAAGCCAGGAUACCUGCCUUAUACG